rnacentral:rRNA from 1 species
UACGGAGGGUGCGAGCGUUGUUCGGAAUUAUUGGGCGUAAAGCGCACGUAGGCGGCCUGGUAAGUCUCACUGUGAAAGCCCCGGGGCUCAACCCCCGGGAGGCCAGGGGGAUACUGCAAGGCUAGAGACAAGUAGAGGCUGGUAGAAUUCCGGGUGUAGCGGUGGAAUGCGUAGAGAUCCGGAGGAAUACCUGAGGCGAAGGCGGCCAGCUGGGCUUGAUCUGACGCUGAGGUGCGAAAGCGUGGGGAGCGAACAGG